rnacentral:rRNA from 1 species
CCCUAGUAGCGGCGAGCGAAGCGGGAAGAGCUCAAAUUUAUAAUCUGGCACCUUCGGUGUCCGAGUUGUAAUCUCUAGAAGUGUUUUCCGCGUUGGACCGCACACAAGUCUGUUGGAAUACAGCGGCAUAGUGGUGAAACCCCCGUAUAUGGUGCGGACGCCCAGCGCUUUGUGAUACACUUUCAAUGAGUCGAGUUGUUUGGGAAUGCAGCUCAAAUUGGGUGGUAAAUUCCAUCUAAAGCUAAAUAUUGGCGAGAGACCGAUAGCGAACAAGUACCGUGAGGGAAAGAUGAAAAGCACUUUGGAAAGAGAGUUAACAGUACGUGAAAUUGUUGGAAGGGAAACGCUUGAAGUCAGACUUGCUUGCCGGAGCUUGCUUCGGUUUGCAGGCCAGCAUCAGUUUUCCGGGGUGGAUAAUGACGGUUUGAAGGUAGCAGUCUCGGCUGUGUUAUAGCUUUCCGUUGGAUACAUCCUGGGGGACUGAGGAACGCAGCGUGCUUUUUGCGAAAGACUCGUCUUUUUCACGCUUAGGAUGCUGGUGGAAUGGCUUUAAACGGCCCGUCUUGAACCACGGACCA